rnacentral:rRNA from 1 species
UACGUAGGGUGCGAGCGUUAAUCGGAAUUACUGGGCGUAAAGCGUGCGCAGGCGGUUUUGUAAGCCAGAUGUGAAAUCCCCGGGCUUAACCUGGGAAUGGCAUUUGGGACUGCAAGGCUGGAGUGUGGCAGAGGAGACUGGAAUUCCUGGUGUAGCAGUGAAAUGCGUAGAUAUCAGGAGGAAUACCGAUGGCGAAGGCAGGUCUCCGGGCUGACACUGACGCUCAUGCACGAAAGCGUGGGGAGCAAACAGG